GACGAACGCUGGCGGCGUGCUUAACACAUGCAAGUCGAACGGAAAGGCCCUGCUUUUGUGGGGUGCUCGAGUGGCGAACGGGUGAGUAACACGUGAGUAACCUGCCCUUGACUUUGGGAUAACUUCAGGAAACUGGGGCUAAUACCGGAUAGGAGCUCCUGCUGCAUGGUGGGGGUUGGAAAGUUUCGGCGGUUGGGGAUGGACUCGCGGCUUAUCAGCUUGUUGGUGGGGUAGUGGCUUACCAAGGCUUUGACGGGUAGCCGGCCUGAGAGGGUGACCGGCCACAUUGGGACUGCGAUACGGCCCAGACUCCUACGGGAGGCAGCAGUGGGGAAUAUUGCACAAUGGGCGGAAGCCUGAUGCAGCAACGCCGCGUGCGGGAUGACGGCCUUCGGGUUGUAAACCGCUUUCGCCUGUGACGAAGCGUGAGCGACGGUAAUGGGUAAAGAAGCACCGGCUAACUACGUG
rnacentral:rRNA from 1 species